rnacentral:rRNA from 1 species
AAGGAAUAUUGGUCAAUGGACGGAAGUCUGAACCAGCCAUCCCGCGUGCAGGAUGAAGGUCCUAUGGAUUGUAAACUGCUUUUAGCAGAGACGAAGACCCAUCAUUUAUGAUGGAGUGACGGUAUCUGCGGAAUAAGCACCGGCUAACUCCGUGCCAGCAGCCGCGGUAAUACGGAGGGUGCAAGCGUUAUCCGGAAUCACUGGGUUUAAAGGGUGCGUAGGCGGAGAAUUAAGUCAGUGGUGAAAUCCUGUCGCUUAACGAUAGAACUGCCAUUGAUACUGAUUUUCUUGAAUUGGGUUGAGGUUAGCGGAAUGUGACAUGUAGCGGUGAAAUGCAUAGAUAUGUCAUGGAACACCAAUUGCGAAGGCAGCUAACUGGGCCUUGAUUGACGCUGAGGCACGAAAGCGUGGGUAGCGAAC